rnacentral:rRNA from 1 species
AUUGAACGCUGGCGGCAGGCCUAACACAUGCAAGUCGAGCGGGCGGCGGGCGGGUGGGUAAUGUAUGGGGACUUCCCGAUAGAGGGGGAUAAGUACUGGAAACGGUAGCUAAUACCGCAUCCUAUCGGAUAACCAAUAUGGGAUUAGGUAGUAGGGGGGGUAAUGGCUCGACUUGGCGACGACCCCUAGCUGGUCUGCGAGGAUGAUCAGCGACACUGGGACUGUGACGCGGCCCAGACUCCUACGGAGGCAGCAGUGGGGAAUAUUGCACAAUGGGCGCAAGCCUGAUGCGACCAUGCCGGGUGUAUGGUGAAGGCCUUCGGGUUGUAAAGUACUUUUGGCAGAUAAGCGGUAUCUGCAGAAUAAGCACCGGCUAACUACGUGCCAGCAGCCGCGGUAAUAC